rnacentral:misc_RNA from 1 species
UCACCUAUCAAGCUGGGCUUGUUAUUGGACUGGUCGCUGUUUAAGCAGUGGCGGUCCGAAAGAUAAUGGCGGAGUCGAGUUAACCCCUUGUAUAAUGAGCUUUAACUGCACGUACGAGUGGAGAGUUGACCGGCCCGGUUCAAACUUUAAUCCAACUUCAAA